GACGAACGCUGGCGGCGUGCUUAACACAUGCAAGUCGAACGCUGAAGCUCAGCUUGCUGGGUGGAUGAGUGGCGAACGGGUGAGUAACACGUGAGUAACCUGCCCUCUUCUUUGGGAUAACGCCCGGAAACGGGUGCUAAUACUGGAUAUUCACUGAUUCUCGCAUGGGGGUUGGUGGAAAGGUUUUUUCUGGUGGGGGAUGGGCUCGCGGCCUAUCAGCUUGUUGGUGGGGUGAUGGCCUACCAAGGCUUUGACGGGUAGCCGGCCUGAGAGGGUGGCCGGACACAUUGGGACUGAGAUCCGGCCCAGACGCCUACGGGAGGCAGCAGUGGGGAAUAUUGAACAAUGGGCGAAAGCCUGAUGCAGCGACGCCGCGUGAGGGAUGGAGGCCUUCGGGUUGUAAACCUCUUUCGCUCAUGGUCAAGCCGCAGCGUUGGGUUGUGGUGAGGGUAGUGGGUAAAGAAGCGCCGGCUAACUACGUG
rnacentral:rRNA from 1 species